UACGUAGGGGGCAAGCGUUGUCCGGAAUCAUUGGGCGUAAAGAGCUCGUAGGCGGCUUGUCGCGUCGUCCGUGAAAACCUACAGCUCAACUGUGGGCUUGCGGUCGAUACGGGCAGGCUAGAGUUCGGUAGGGGAGACUGGAAUUCCUGGUGUAGCGGUGAAAUGCGCAGAUAUCAGGAGGAACACCAGCGGCGAAGGCGGCGCUCUGGGCUGGAACUGACGCUGAGGAGCGAAAGCGUGGGGAGCGAACAGG
rnacentral:rRNA from 1 species